rnacentral:rRNA from 1 species
CGGCAGCGGGGGCUUCGGCCUGCCGGCGAGUGGCGAACGGGUGAGUAAUGCAUCGGAACGUGCCCAGUCAUGGGGGAUAACUACGCGAAAGCGUAGCUAAUACCGCAUACGCCCUGAGGGGGAAAGUGGGGGAUCUUCGGACCUCACGUGAUUGGAGCGGCCGAUGUCAGAUUAGCUAGUUGGUGAGGUAAAGGCUCACCAAGGCGACGAUCUGUAGCGGGUCUGAGAGGAUGAUCCGCCACACUGGGACUGAGACACGGCCCAGA